GGCAGUGGAAACUGAAAGGCUUGAGUAUGGUAGGGGCAGAGGGAAUUCCCGGUGUAGCGGUGAAAUGCGUAGAUAUCGGGAAGAACACCAGUGGCGAAGGCGCUCUGCUGGGCCAUUACUGACGCUCAUGGACGAAAGCCAGGGGAGCGAAAGGGAUUAGAUACCCCUGUAGUCCUGGCCGUAAACGAUGAACACUAGGUGUCGGGGGAAUCGACCCCUUCGGUGUCGUAGCUAACGCGUUAAGUGUUCCGCCUGGGGAGUACGCACGCAAGUGUGAAACUCAAAGGAAUUGACGGGGGCCCGCACAAGCGGUGGAGUAUGUGGUUUAAUUCGAUGCAACGCGAAGAACCUUACCAGGGUUUGACAUCCUGCGAACCUCUUAGAAAUUUGAGGGUGCCUUCGGGAAUGCAGUGACAGGUGGUGCAUGGCUGUCGUCAGCUCGUGUCGUGAGAUGUUGGGUUAAGUCCCGCAACGAGCGCAACCCACGUUUUUAGUUGCCAGCAUUUAGUUGGGCACUCUAGAAAGACCGCCGGUGAUAAACCGGAGGAAGGUGUGGAUGACGUCAAGUCAUCAUGCCCCUUACACCCUGGGCUACACACGUACUACAAUGCUACGGACAAAGGGCAGCAAACUCGCGAGAGCUAGCAAAUCCCAUAAACCGUGGCUCAGUUCAGAUCGUAGGCUGCAACUCGCCUACGUGAAGUAGGAAUCGCUAGUAAUCGCAGGUCAGCAUACUGCGGUGAAUACGUUCCCGGGCCUUGUACACACCGCCCGUCACACCAUGGAAGUUGGCCAUGCCCGAAGUCGUUACUCCAACCCUUGUGGAGGAGGACGCCGAAGGUGGGGCUAAUGACUGGGGUGAAGUCGUAACAAGGUAGCCG
rnacentral:rRNA from 1 species